rnacentral:rRNA from 1 species
GACGAACGCUGGCGGCGUGCUUAACACAUGCAAGUCGAGCGAAAGGAUUCCCUUCGGGGAUGAAUUUAGCGGCGGACGGGUGAGUAACACGUGGGCAACCUGCCUUAUAGAGGGGGAUAGCCUUCCGAAAGGAAGAUUAAUACCGCAUAACAUCAGAUUAUCGCAUGGUAGACUGAUCAAAGGAACAAGCCGCGAUAAGAUGGGCCCGCGUCGCAUUAGCUAGUUGGUGAGGUAACGGCUCACCAAGGCGACGAUGCGUAGCCGACCUGAGAGGGUGAUCGGCCACAUUGGGAAUGAGACACGGCCCAGACUCCUACGGGAGGCAGCAGUGGGGAAUAUUGCACAAUGGGGGAAACCCUGAUGCAGCAACGCCGCGUGAGUGAUGAAGGCCUUCGGGUUGUAAAGCUCUGUCUUUGGGGACGAUAAUGACGGUACCCAAGGAGGAAGCCACGGCUAACUACGUGCCAGCAGCCGCAGUAACAC